UACGAAGGGGGCUAGCGUUGUUCGGAUUUACUGGGCGUAAAGCGCAUGUAGGCGGGUCGUUAAGUUGGGGGUGAAAGCCCGAGGCUCAACCUCGGAACUGCCUUCAAAACUGGCGACCUGGAGCAUGAUAGAGGCGAGUGGAAUUCCGAGUGUAGAGGUGAAAUUCGUAGAUAUUCGGAGGAACACCAGUGGCGAAGGCGACUCGCUGGAUCAUGCUGACGCUGAGGUUCGAAAGCUCGGGGGAGCAAACAGGG
rnacentral:rRNA from 1 species